rnacentral:rRNA from 1 species
AUUGAACGCUGGCGGCAGGCCUAACACAUGCAAGUCGAGCGGAUGACGGGAGCUUGCUCCUUGAUUCAGCGGCGGACGGGUGAGUAAUGCCUAGGAAUCUGCCUGGUAGUGGGGGACAACGUUUCGAAGGGAACGCUAAUACCGCAUACGUCCUACGGGAGAAAGCAGGGGACCUCCGGGCCUUGCUCUAUCAGAUGAGCCGGGGUCGGAUUAGGUAGUUGGUGGGGGAAUGGCUCACCAAGGCGACGAGCCGUAACUGGUAUGAGAGGAUGAUCAGUCAAACUGGAACUGAGACACGGUCCAGCCUCCUACGGGAGGCAGCAGUGGGGAAUAUUGGACAAUGGGCGAAAGCCUGAUCCAGCCAUGCCGCGUGUGUGAAGAAGGUCUUCGGAUUGUAAAGCACUUUAAGUUGGGAGGAAGGGCAGUAAGCUAAUACCUUGCUGUUUUGACGUUACCGACAGAAUAAGCACCGGCUAACUCUGUGCCAGCAGCCGCCGUAA